ACUAUGUUCCAGUGUAAAAAUAUCGCAUUAACUCUGGCCCUUUUUGUGUUCUUAUCAAGUUUCCUUUUGGAAAUUGCUGCAAUGAGCCAGGAAACCAAUUUGAUCAGAAGCCGAAAGCCUAGAAAUAUUAUGGCGGAUUUGUUACUAAUGGACUAUAUGGCUUCUAGACACAGCGAUAAACUUGGAUACGGUCUAAAUAUAUCUCAAUACGGGAGGUAGCACCUGUAAUUGUUAUCUGGUUUAUUUACAUUCCGGAAGAGUUGGAGAGCCGUUCAGCCUUGGAUGCAGAAUGUGAUACUCAUAUUUAUAAACAUUAUUGAUGCAAUAAAAUGCAGAAAAUUC